rnacentral:rRNA from 1 species
AGAGUUUGAUCCUGGCUCAGGACGAACGCUGGCGGCGUGCCUAACACAUGCAAGUCGAACGAGGUUCAGUCAGUAGCAAUACUGACGAAGACCUAGUGGCGAACGGGUGAGUAGCACGUGAGCAACCUGCCCCGAAGACCGGGACAACACCGGGAAACCGGUGCUAAUACCGGAUAUCCCCAUCGUGUCGCAUGGCGUGAUGAGGAAAUGGAUUCCGCUUCGGGAGGGGCUCGCGGCCUAUCAGCUUGUUGGUGAGGUAACGGCUCACCAAGGCUUCGACGGGUAGCUGGUCUGAGAGGACGAUCAGCCACACUGGGACUGAGACACGGCCCAGACUCCUACGGGAGGCAGCAGUGGGGAAUCUUGCACAAUGGGCGAAAGCCUGAUGCAGCAACGCCGCGUGAGGGACGAAGGCUUUCUGAGUUGUAAACCUCUUUC